rnacentral:rRNA from 1 species
AUUCCAGCUCCAAUAGCGUAUAUUAAAGUUGUUGCAGUUAAAAAGCUCGUAGUUGAACUUCAGGCCUGGCUGGGCGGUCUGCCUAACGGUAUGUACUGUCUGGCUGGGUCUUACCUCUUGGUGAGCCGGCAUGCCCUUCACUGGGUGUGUCGGGGAACCAGGACUUUUACCUUGAGAAAAUUAGAGUGUUCAAAGCAGGCUUAUGCCCGAAUACAUUAGCAUGGAAUAAUAAAAUAGGACGUGCGGUUCUAUUUUGUUGGUUUCUUGAGUCGCCGUAAUGAUUAAUAGGGAUAGUUGGGGGCAUUAGUAUUCCGUUGCUAGAGGUGAAAUUCUUGGAUUUACGGAAGACUAACUACUACGAAAGCAUUUGCCAAGGAUGUUUUCAUCG